CUUGCUUGAAUGUGACAGGGAGCUGACAGAUGCUCUCAAGGUCUGCUAGACAAAUAUUCCUGCCUGUCUUGUUCACACUGUUCAGUUAUGAGGAUAGGAGACAUUCCUUGUAAGAGAAACAGAAAACUUUCUGGUCAGAAACUUUCAAAGUUGAUAGAACUCUGAGAAACAUGUUGCUUUGAUAAAAAGAAAUAUGUUAGUAACCGUAAGAGCAAUAUGAGAAGAACUUCUGGUGUCAACAAGUCUCCAAUCACAGGCAAAAGAAAUCAUUCUGAGCAAACUCAUCACUACAUCUAGUUCUUCUAGGCUGACACUGGAAAUUAAGGGGCUGAGUCAUCCUUUCUUUCAAAUUCUGCUGAGAUUUUCUUCAAAUUAGUUCCUGAAGCCACUGCAUAUCUAUCUGGAUGUGCUAAUCCUGAGAGUACCUAAAAGAAGGUGGACAAGGAUUACCACACGCAGCUGUCUUUGGGCUAUUCACUUCGUUUUGCCUCCUUUGGAAGAUCAGAAUGGACUGCUGCUGACAAGUGAAUCCUUUGCAGAUCUUCUGCAGAGAGUGGGGUGACGUAGGCCAGGCAGCAGUUUUAC